GGUUGGACGCAUGGUACGUGUGGUACAAUCUGUUUUGUUGUAUCUGGUUUUAUUGUGAAAGACUAAACAGGAAGUGAAUACUGUGAGUGCGGAGACAACUUGUUGUUUCGGGCUUAGGUCUCGCUUGAAUCUUUUCCUCAGAACACAACUGUAUGAAGCCGCAUCUUCAAGGCAAAUGAAUCCUGAAACGGAGGUUAGCCUCCUCCACCCUCCCGUCCCCCGUUUUGUUGUGAAAGAGAAU